rnacentral:rRNA from 1 species
CUGGGAUUAGAUACCCCACUAUGCCACGAAGUAAACUAUGAUCACUCCGCCAGAAAAUUACGGGCAAACAAGCCUAAAACUCAAAAGAUUUGACGGUGUCCCAACCUACCUAGAGGAGCCUGUUCCAUAAUCGAUAACCCCCGAUCAACCCUACCACCCCUUGAUUAUACAGCCUAUAUACCGCCGUCGCCAGCUUACCUUUUAAAAGCCACACAGUAAGCAAGAUAGUAAAUUACUAAAAAGUCAGGUCAAGGUGUAGCUAAUGUGGUGGAGCUAAUGGGCUACAUUAUCUGCCCCAGAUAACACGCACUAUCUUCUGCAACACCGAUAUUAAGGAGGAUUUAGCAGUAAAUGAAGCAAGAAUACUUAAUUUAACACCUGCUCUGGGACAUGUACACACCGCCCGUCACCC